rnacentral:rRNA from 1 species
CAUGCAAGUCGAACGGUAGAUAUCUUUCGGGAUAUUGAGAGUGGCGAACGGGUGAGUAACACGUAGAUGAUCUACCCUCAAAUGGGGGACAACCCAGGGAAACUUGGGCUAAUACCGCAUGAGUGCAGCGCAUAAAGCAUCUUUAGGUGGGUGUUUUAUGCGUUGCAUAAAAGGUGGCCUUCGGGCUGUCGUUUGAGGAUGAGUCUGCGUCCCAUUAGUUAGUUGGUGAGGUAAUGGCUCACCAAGGCGAUGAUAGGUAGGCGGCCUUAACGGGUGGCCGCCCACACUGGGAUUGAGAUACCGGCCCAGACUCCUACGGGAGGCAGCAGUCGAGAAUAGUCUACAAUGGACGAAAGUCUGAUAGUGCGACGCCGCGUGAACGAAGAAUCCCGUUCGGGGUGUUAAAAACGUUCUUUUAUAUGUGAGCAAUGUCUUUUUAUGUGAAUAGCAUGAGAAGAGAGAUAUUAGCAUAUGAAUAAGCAACGGCUAACUCCGUGCCAGCCGCAGC